UACGUAGGAGGCGAGCGUUGUCCGGAGUUACUGGGCGUAAAGGGUGCGUAGGCGGCGCGGUAAGUCGGGUGUGAAAUCUCGGGGCUUAACUCCGAAACUGCAUUCGAUACUGCUGUGCUUGAGGACUGGAGAGGAGACUGGAAUUUACGGUGUAGCGGUGAAAUGCGUAGAUAUCGUAAGGAAGACCAGUGGCGAAGGCGGGUCUCUGGACAGUUCCUGACGCUGAGGCACGAAGGUCAGGGGAGCAAACGGG
rnacentral:rRNA from 1 species